GCGCCAGGCCCAAAACCAGGCCUGGGCCUGCCUGGCCUAAACCCAGUAGUUAAAAAUCAACUCAUAACUUAGAAACCGAUGUUAUUCAUAGAUUCCAGACAUUGUAUAGAACAUUGUGAAACUCCCUGCCCUGUUCUGUUUCUCUCUGACCACCGGUGCAUGCAGCCCCUGUCACGUACCCCUUGCUUGACUGAAUCAAUCACGACCCUUUCAUGUAAAAUCUUUAGUGUUGUGAGCCCUUAAAUGGGACAGAAACUGUGCACUCAGGGAGCUUGGAUUUUAAGGCAGUAGCUUGCCGAUGCUACCAGCUGAAUAAAGCCCUUCCUUCUACAACUCGAUGUCUGAGAAGUUUUGUCUGCAGCUCGUCCUGCUACAUUUCUUGGUUCCCUGACCGGGAAGUGAGGUAAUUGACGGACUGCCGAGGCAGCACCUUAGGCGGCUUAGACGUGCCCUGUGGAGCAUCUCUGCGGGGGACUCCAGCCAGCCUGAGUGACGCGAUCCAAACAGCGCUCCUGGGUAGGAAAAUGCCCCAGUGGGAUGCCUCACCAGAGCAGCGCUUGGCAGGCCCCCGCGGAGGAUAAACACAGUGGCUGAACACCAGGAAGGAACUGGCACUUGGAGUCCAGACAUCUGAAACUUGGUAAGACUAGUCUUUUGAACUUGCCCCACUCCACCUGAGUGGAAGCAUGGCCUGAUCACCCGCAGUGUGCCUGUACUGGCAUCUUUGUUCUGGUUUUGACUUGGCUUGACUUGGCUUAAGUUCCUUGUAGAUCAUGGAUAUUAGACAAGAAAUAAAGCCACACACCUACAACCAUCUGACCUUUGACAAAGCUGACAAAAGCAAGAGGGAAAGGACUCUAUUCAAUAAGUGCUAGGAUAACUGGCUAGCCAUAUGCAGAAGAUUGAAACUGGACCCCUUCUUUAUACCAUACACAAGAAUCAACUAAAUGAUUGAAGACCUAAACGUAAAACCUAAAACUAUAAAAACCGUAGAAGAUAACCUAGAAAAUACCGUUUUGGACAUACGAACUGGCAAAGAUUCCAAAACAAAAAUGCCACAGGCAAUUGCAACAAAAGCAAAAAUUGACAAAUGAGACCUAACUAAAUUAAACUAAAGAGCUUCUGCACAGCAAAAGAAACUAUCAACAGGGUAAACAGGCAACCUACAGAAUGUGAGAAAAUAUUUGCAAACUAUAUAUCUAAUUCAUAUUUAUUAUAAGUGCAUGUUUACCUGUAUCUCCCAAUCAUUGUACCCUAACACCUAACCCAGAUGGUGACACAUAGUAAGUGCCUUGAUAAAUACUUGUUGAACAAAUCAAUGUUUCAUAGCUUUAGUUCUUUUUGUAAAAUAGAAUGUAAAGUUGGGGGUGGGAGUUUCAUGAAAAUCACAUACCUCUCAGAAAAGAAAACAAAUGGUGAUUAAAAAUGAGUAAAACAAUUACAAAAUAUAUUGUAGCCUUGCCUAUAUCAGACAAUAGCAAAAUAAUAAGGUUCCAGUUUGUACUUUAGAGUUCCCAAAUAAAAAUUUACAAAUCCCAUAAGGGUUGUAAUGAAAUUUGUAUUUCUAAAACCAUGGAAUUUAAACAUUCUUUGAAUAUUU
rnacentral:lncRNA from 10 species